GUAAAAAAGAGAAGAAUGAGAAUCAGCGAACGGACUGAAAUGAAAAGAGAGCCACACUCUAAGUGUGAAAAAAUACUUUUCCACCAAGAGAAGCAAAAACCAGAAAUUUCAUGAAAGGAGAAUUAAAUGAACCCAAGAGAAGUUUCCAAAUUUAUUUAGUAGACCUUACUAAAAAAAAAAGAAAAAAAAGAAAUGAAAUGAGGUGGCUUCAUUGUCUGGGUGUCUGAGGGAGCAUGGCCCUGGGAGAAGAGGAGAAUGGAAUGGUGGUUCAGAUCUGCUUCUUGGUGUAGCUGUGGUCAGUCACUGGGGAGAACAACAGGAUCAAGGGCGUGAAACAACCAAAACCAAAGAGCAGCUGGAGACCACUUGCCAGUGAUUAGCACAAGGUAAGCUGCAAAGAACUUUGAAUUAGGUCAGUAUGAACAAUAGGGCCUUAUUCAAAUCCUUGCCUUGGGAAGGUCAGGAACACGGUGAAUAAUUGGGAUUACCUUUGUCUCACUAAGAGCCAAACCCCAGCUGUUGUAAGGCUACAAAGAUAUCUCAUUGUCUUCCUGUAUUGUCUAACCCUGAGAUCCUCUGUGACAUUUUAAAUUGCUUAUGUAGCAAAGCAAAUGGAGUACAGUAUUCAAACAUAGUUUUGUGUUUGUAGAGAACAUAAGAAGCUGAAAAUAUGAAUGGAUUCAAAGUUCAUGUAGAAAAAAAUGUGUCUGCUAUCUUUGUGAUUUGUUGCUAAGGGAAUGUUUCAUAGAGUAUUAGUACUGGGCGAGCCCAAAGAAAUAAUAAUAUGAAGCUAUGUGAUAUUUGGGACCCACUUAUACUAAAAAUUAUUGUUUAUUACAUUUACAUUAUAUUAUUUGUUCUUUAUCUGAAAUCCAAAUUUAUCAGAGCAUCCGGUAUUUUUAUUUGCUAAACCUGGCACCCCUAUUGAAAAACCUGCUUCCCAGGCUUCGGCAAUAUCUCACUACGUAGAAAAAGUUAGGUUAAAGUUGAAUUGUCUGCUAUUUUAGAAUAUCUAAAUAUAUUCAGAAGGCAAACUAUUAGGAGAUUUUUUUUUAAAAGCUCAUUUUAUAUUCAAAACUUAGGAAUAAGGCUCAAGGAGGCAGGCGUGUCCUUCCAAUGUCACU